AUACGGAGGGUGCAAGCGUUAAUCGGAAUUACUGGGCGUAAAGCGCGCGUAGGCGGUUUGAUAAGUCGGAUGUGAAAUCCCCGGGCUCAACCUGGGAAUUGCAUUCGAUACUGUCAGGCUAGAGUGUGGUAGAGGGAAGUGGAAUUUCCGGUGUAGCGGUGAAAUGCGUAGAUAUCGGAAGGAACACCAGUGGCGAAGGCGGCUUCCUGGACCAACACUGACGCUGGGGUGCGAAAGCGUGGGGAGCAAACAGGAUUAGAUACCCUAGUAGUCC
rnacentral:rRNA from 1 species